AACACCUAUAAACAUGAGAUGAUACGUCGUUAGAGAGAGAGAAAGAGAAAAAAAAAGAUAUAUAUAUAUCGUAUUUUCAAUCGAACGUAAUCGUCGAAUCAAAUAUCAGAUCGGAUCAACGUUUUAUUCUUUCAUAUUUAUAUCGCGCCGUGAAAGAUAUGAUCUGAUUGGUUGAAAGUGAAUUGUGCUUUUAUCAAUUGCUACGCGUGUUGUGACAAUGUGAGAAAGGGAGAGAGAAAGAAAGAGAGAGAGAGUGAGUGAGUGAGUGAAAGAGUGAGUGAGUGAGUGAAAGAGUGAGUGAGAGAGUGAGAGAAGCAAGAUCGAACUUUAGCACAUACAGCGAAAAGUAUAGUGAACGUUAAACGACAAACGGAAAGAUAAGGAACAUAUAAGUUAGAGUGAGAUAAAGAAAGAAAGAGUGUACUUAAGAGUGUAUAUUAAGAGAGAGAGAGAGAGAGAGAGAGAGAGAGAGAAAGAGAGAGAGAUAAAGAGAUAGAGAGAGAGAAAGGAAUAUAGAUAUAUAGAGAGAAAGAAAGAAAAAGACGGAGAUAAAUCGUCUGAGCGCUGCUGGUAAAUAGGAUCGAGUGCGCGAUUCCAUGACUUUGAGGUUGAAAUCGGUGGAAAAGCAGUGCGGACGGCACUCGUGCCGUAAUCACAAUGGAUUUUAAAUAAUUCGUGUUGCGUGCGACAGAGAAAGAGGUAGAGAACAUAGAGAGAAGAAAGUGUCGCUUGGAGUUUUGUGCCCAAGAAUUAUUUUUCUUUCUUUUUUUAUUUGUUUUUUUUUUUUUUUUUUUUUUUUUUUUUUUUUUUUUUUUCGUUAAAAUUCUCAUCACACAGGUAAAGCUCUUUUCCCUUAUGUACAAAGAGGAACCUACGAACGAACCGAUGCGUUAAUAAACGGCCAAAAUGGAAGAGCAAAGCGUUCACAGCAGUAUCAGUGAUAUAAAUAGUGAGGAGGCCGUUAGAAGUGAGACUCUAGUGAUACCACGUAAGAAGAGAAUAUGUUUGGUCGGUACUGCUGGUGAUGAUCCUGCUCUGGGCGCUGCUGCGCAACAAUUUAGUGUUCCAGUAUUGAAAUCGGAAACAGGCGUGGAAUAUAUAGAAGAUACUGCAUAUUGCACUUAUUUUAUACUCAAAGAAUUUGAGGGACCUGAAUAUGAUGCUCUUCAUAAAAGUGCCCAUAGGAUAUUGGGACCAACAGCACUUUUGCAGUUGGCAGAAAAGAAGGACUCAUUACCUAGUAUUAAAAGACCAAUGUACACACAAGCCAUGGUUGGAUCGGUUGUUGUUUUCACUGGAUUUAGAAAAAAAGAUGAGUUGACGAGACUCAUCAAUAUGAUACAUAAUAUGGGUGGUAGUAUCCGAAAAGAAAUGGGUACAAAAGUGACGCAUCUUAUUGCUAAUUGUUGUGGUGGUGAUAAGUAUAGAUAUGCUGUUAUAUUUAGAGUACCUAUUAUGUCAAUGAGUUGGGUGACUACACUCUGGAGUACUAGAGAUGACGUUUCCAGUUAUGGAAAUAAUGAAGAAUUGAUAACAGCUCAUAAACUAAAACCAUUUUUUGGUGCAAGAGUGUGUUUCUUUGGUUUUCCUGAAGAAGAAAAGAAACAUAUGUGUGAAGUGUUACAACAACAAGGUGGCGAGGCAACAGAAAUUGACGACCCUAAUUGUACUCACGUAGUAACAGAUUUAGGCAGUCAACAAAACAAGAAAUCCAACACUGAAAAUAACGGAUUACUAUAUAAAACAAAUUCAUCUAAUGUCACUUCUUCAUAUCCAACAGACUUUAGUCCAUUUUCCUUUAUUUUUUAUAAUCCAUAUAUUAAUGCUAUCCCUAACAUUAUGCCAAUUGACUCUGCAUAUUAUAUACUAAAUAACAAGAAUAUUAUUCAAUCUGAAAGUAAACAUAACAGAUGGAUACCUUCAUCUAAUCUUUCUUCUACACGUAAAUACUUUGAUAUGAAAGAAAACUAUAUUUCAGAAAAUAUUAAUCAAGAUUCAGAUAUUUGUAUGGAUGAUAAUUUUUCUGAUACUCAAACUUUGUCUUCUCAAUCUGACACUAUCUCUUCUGAGUCUUUUUCAUCAAUGCAAACUGAUUCAGGUAUUGAUAUGUCUGUAUCUAGUAAAGAUGGUCUGGAGAUAACUACAAGUUCACAUACCUUUAAAAAGAUACGUUCUUUUAGUUUGCCAGUAAUAUAUAAAAUAGCAUGCGAUCCCAAUACAGAGGAUGCCAUUUUUAAAACAGAAUUGUCUGCAAACCAAAAUACGAUAAAAGAAAAUUUUAAAAAUUUGGAGAACAAAUCAGUAUACUUUAGAUCUUCUACAUUAAACAAGAAUAAAACAAAGUUACUUGUAUGUGUACCUGAAGUUAUCGAAGAAGUAGAACCUUAUCAAUCAAUUCAGUUUGAUCAUUUUACAAUUUUAAAUAAAAAGGUAAAAAAAAGACGGUACAGAAACUGGACAAAGUCUAAGUCUUGCAAUACAAUUUAUAAAGGGGCAUCUUCAAAUAGAUCACAUUUUAGAAAAAUUUGUUCUUAUCCUAAUCUUUUUAGGCAACAUGAUUCCGAUCUUAAUGAUUCUCUUUUAUAUGAUUCACUUAUUCCUAACAAAAAGAAUAAAAAAUGUUUUUAUUCGCCGAAAAAAAGUCCAACAAUAUUUUCGAAAUUUCGUGAUUUAAACUUUUCUCCAAUGUUAAGAAAAUAUGUGUUAAAUUCGACUAUAGAACAGAGUCAACCUAGACAGAAGUAUACACCAUUACCUAGCUCUCCUAUUAUUCCCGCAAAGAUAGCAAAAUUAUCACAGUCUAAACAUAUACCGACAAGUGACUUUGAACAACAAGGAAAAAUUUCAAACUAUCCUUUCAAGUCUUCUAUAUUGAAAGAUGCAAAGACGAAGAAACAGGAGGACGAAUCAUUACUUGUGGUUGUGGAUGAAUCAAAUGUAAAUACACUGCCUGAUUUAGCGUCUGUAAAAGCUCAUGUUGUAAAAGCGGAAUGGUUUUGGACAUCUGUUCAGGAUGAAGGAGCAGCUGACGAAAAAGACUAUUUAUUUGAGAAUUAUCUAGAAUCAGUGCUAUCACCAACUGCAUCAGUCAGACGAGAUAGUCAGCAGACAGCUACACCAAGUACAGCAUCCACAAGACGAAAACGUAAACGUCUUGCUGAAACUCUAUCUAGUUUGGUUCAAAAUGGAACAGACUCGCCAGCUGUGCACAAAAGACGAUCUAGCGUCAGUGAUGCUGGGCAUCUAAGUGUGAGUGGUAGUUUUCUUGAUUGCACAGCGAGUCCUGAUAAACAAUUGCUCGAUGAUAUUCCAGAGGUAGAAGCUGUUAAUGCAGAGAGUAGUAGGAAAAAUCGAUCCCCACGUCAUCAAGUUUUUCUUGAAUUAGUGCAGACAGAAUCUAAUUAUGUUGGUAUUUUGAGCACAAUUAUGACGUUAUUUAAAUCACCAUUGGAGGACCUUAUAGAAAGUAGUGGUGAAUUAGUGAAUAGUACAGAAGUUAAAAUUAUUUUUGGUAACUUUCCACCAAUUUAUGAGGUCCAUAAGAAGAUGUUAGAAGAGCUACGUUAUAGCGCUACUUAUUGGACAGAAGAUGUUAGUAUAGGUAAUAUAUUUCUGAAGUUUGCACCUGACCUAGUCAAGGCAUAUCCUCCGUACGUCAAUUUCUUCGAAAAUACAAAGGAAAUGCUAGACCAAUGUGAUCAAAACAAGCCACGUUUUCAUGCUUUUUUGAAGAUCUGCCAGACUAAACCUGAGUGUGGCAGGCAAAGUUUGAAAGAACUCUUAAUAAAGCCAGUACAGAGGUUACCCAGUAUUAGUUUAUUAUUAAAUGAUAUCCUUAAGCACACAAGUAAAAGUAAUCCGGAUUAUAGUGCGUUGGAGUUAUCAAUUAGCAGUAUUAAAGAAGUUAUGACUUAUAUUAACGAGGAUAAACGAAAAACAGAAGGCCAAUUGGCAAUGUUUGAUAUCUUUAACGAAAUUGACAAUUGCCCACCACAUUUAGUAUCCUCGCAUAGAUCUUUUAUUGGAAAAUGCGACGUAAUGGAACUCAGUGAAGGUCUAAGUGGUCGUGGCGAUCAUUUGGUUCUAUUUCUCUUUACGGAUAUUCUAGAAAUUUGUAAGAAAAGAUCAAAAGCUUUCAACUCAUUAAAAAGUCCUAAUACUGCAAAUGGAUUACAUUCUGCAAAAUUAAGCCAAGGAAAACCAUAUAAGCAUAUAAAAAUGUUAUCCCUUAGUACUAUUAGAAAGGUUGUGGAUAUUCGAGAAACUGAAGAAUGUCAGAAAGUAUUUGCACUUAUGGUAAGAAGUAACCAGGAGUUAAAGGAAAAAUUAUUUUCGUUUACAAUUAUUGAUGAAGAUGUAAACAAAACAAACUAUUUACGUACUUUGUGCAGACAGAUGGCUAAUACAGUUUGCAAGGCUGAUGCGGAUACGUUCCUGAUAAGUCUUGAUUCACAUCAGCUGGAAAUUGAUACUAGUGAUGUAGCGUUAGGAACAUUAAGUAAAGCAUUUAAGAGCCUAUUUCAUAAUUUUUACCUGGAGUAUAUGGACCCGUAUGUGUUCCUACUCAAUAGCAUGUGUGAAACUACGUUACAUGUCCCACUACCGUUUGCAUCUCGUACAAGGAGGAAAGUCGGUAGAGCGUUUAGUUUUAACAAGACUCCUAGUAAACUAAAGAGAGCUAUGUCUACAAUGAUGUCACCUUUUGGAUCAACAAAUAGUCUCACUCCAGCGAGCCAGCAACUUGCCCAGAUGAGACUUGCUAGUUGCAACAAUAUUAACGAACUGGGUAAUGGUGGUUCAGACUCGCCCACUAGAGACGAUGUUCUAGUGGCACCCAUGUCGGUUCAACCGACUCGAAAGGCCAAAUGCAGCUCCCUCAGUAUGGCUUCACUUCGAAGCUAAGGAAGAUCAAUUAAACAAAUUUAUUUAUACUGUAUUAAACUGAAAUUACUGAAAUUUAAUGAAGGCAUGGAAAAAUAUCUAAGAAAUUGUUCAGAAGUGGUUGUACAGGACAAGUCUGAUCUUUGAGAAGCAGAUCAUCUAUAUCACAUAUUGCACCUUGCUCUUAUUUCUCUCAAUAUCAGUGAAGUCUACAAUGGAAACUACUCGUUGAUUACUUUUAGAAACAUAUUGAAAACAAAAAUGAUUUAUGCAAAUAAUAUUUUAUAUUAUCAUUAUUACUAAAUUUGAUCUUUUAUUUUUCUGCCAUAUAUUGCUUUAUUGUAUGCAUCAGAUAAAAUCUGAUUGUUUAAUAUGCUUGACUUUUUAAGUAAUUUAUAUGUAAUCUUAUGGAACAACAUAGUAUAUGACUAAAAUUGAUCAUUUGCAAUGACAUUUCUUUAUCCCUUAAUAUUUACGAUUCUAUUAAUGUUGCAAAUAUUACAAAAAGGUAAUUAUUUAGAUAAAUUUAUUGUAAACGAUAUCAAUUUUUUAGACAUAAUUAAAAUCGAUUAGUACGUACAAUGUAACUUUGACUAAUUUCAGCCUCAAAAUUUGUUUGCUUAGAGUAAGUAAAAAAGUCAAAAUUUCAUAUAGUGAUAAGUUACAUUUACGUAUAUGCAAAUGUUAAAUAUUUACAUUUUAUAUAUGCAUAUAUUUUAAUAUUCGCAUAUAAUUAUCAUACUUUUUUUGUCUAUCGUAUAUAUAUUGAAACAAUAAACAACAUGCACGAAAUUAUCUAUAUUGGACCACAGAAGAAAACAUAUACUAUGCUCAUUGCAA